rnacentral:rRNA from 1 species
CCUGGCUCAGGAUGAACGCUAGCUACAGGCUUAACACAUGCAAGUCGCGGGGCAGCAUGGGGGUUGCUUGCAACUCCCGAUGGCGACCGGCGCACGGGUGAGUAACGCGUAUCCAACCUGCCCUUCACCACGGGACCGGCGAAAGUCGGACUAAUACCGUAUGUUGUCCAUUGACGGCAUCCGAUUUGGACGAAAGGUUUGGCGGUGAGGGAUGGGGAUGCGUCCGAUUAGCUGGACGGCGGGGUAACGGCCCACCGUGGCGACGAUCGGUAGGGGUUCUGAGAGGAAGGUCCCCCACACUGGAACUGAGACACGGUCCAGACUCCUACGG